CAACACUGGCUUAGUGACAGCGUGGAAUUGCCACCAGCGAGUGCGCAGAAUAUCAAAGGAAAACAAACACCUUGCUUCGCGAGCGAAAGCCGGUAGAAAGGCGGGAAAUCAGAGAAAGGCACUCACCAGUAGGCCGCCCCUCCCUUGCCCACUGAGUAUUGAGUGACUCUCGACUCCUGCAACAGCCGGCCAGGCCAGAAUGCACGUUCAGUCAGGCCGCCAGACACUCGGCGGUAAAAACAGUUAAAAACUUCAAAACACCGGACUACGAGGGAAAGUACGUUCACUUCAACUUGUGUGUGUGUGUGUGUGUGUGUGUGUGUGUGUGUGCGUGUAUUUUUGGUGUGUGUUAACUUUCACCCAUUGUUAGCAUCUUUCUUUUUGGUUAUGCGCCAGUUUCUUUUUAGCCAUCAAUGAGCAUGUUUUGGCUUUGUUUUGGCCAAAAAUCUCUGUGUGUCUUGACAUUUGGCCAUUGUCUGCGCUUAGCUUAGCUUAGCGCAUUGUGGGCUUUCAUUGUGACUCCACAGACACGCCCACUGCCCCCUGACCCCCCCCCCCCUGCCAACUGUUUGUUGGCAUUCAGGUGUUAAAAAAUUUGAAGUCUAUCGACUGCCAGCUACCGAGUCUCAUCAUCGACCAUUAGGUUGAUAGGUCAGUUCGUUAUGCUAAUCCCUACUCCCUGCUGCCCCUCUCUGCCCCUCUCCGCCUCACUCUGCUCAAUUCGCGACAUUUUCUAAGAGUUCGAAUGUGUUAAAUAAUCUUGUGUGUUUGUUUUAUUUUUUUUUUUUUGUGUGGGUUUUCUUCGAUCUGUGACAAUAUUCCAUAAUUAGCAUAUCAUGACCAGCUUUUAUGUUGUAAUAUUUUAAAGAAACUCAAUAAAAACUGAGCUCAACUACGAACUGAGUUUAAAUA